rnacentral:rRNA from 1 species
GCACAAGCGGUGGAGCAUGUGGAUUAAUUCGAUGCAACGCGAAGAACCUUACCUGGGUUUGACAUACACCGGAAGCCCCCAGAGAUGGGGGUCUCUUUGAUACUGGUGUACAGGUGGUGCAUGGCUGUCGUCAGCUCGUGUCGUGAGAUGUUGGGUUAAGUCCCGCAACGAGCGCAACCCUCGCCCUUAGUUGCCAUCAUUUAGUUGGGCACUCUAAGGGGACUGCCGGUGAUAAGCCGCGAGGAAGGUGGGGAUGACGUCAAGUCCUCAUGGCCCUUACAGGUUGGGCUACACACGUGCUACAAUGGCGGUGACAAUGGGCAGCGAACCCGCGAGGGGGAGCUAAUCCCAAAAAGCCGUCUCAGUUCAGAUUGCACUCUGCAACUCGAGUGCAUGAAGGUGGAAUCGCUAGUAAUCGUGGAUCAGCAUGCCACGGUGAAUACGUUCCCGGGC